rnacentral:misc_RNA from 1 species
GAUGAAGAACGCAGCGAAAUGCGAUACUUGGUGUGAAUUGCAGAAUCCCGUGAACCAUCGAGUCUUUGAACGCAAGUUGCGCCUCAAGCCAUUAGGUUGAGGGCACGUCUGCCUGGGCGUCACAGAUCGUUGCCUGAUGCCAGUUUCCUCGUGAUGGGUGACUGUGCAGGGCGAAUGAUGGCUUCCCGUGAGCAUUGUUGCCUCAUGGUUGGUUGAAAAUUGAGUCCUUGGUAGGGAGCGCCGUGAUAGAUGGUGGUUGAGUGACGAACGAGACCCAAUCAUGUGAGACCCCUACCGAAUUUGGCCUUCAUGACCCACAUGCGUCUUUGGAACGCUCAUGACGAGACCUCAGGUCAGGCGGGGCUACCCGCUGAGUUUAAGCAUAUCAAUAAGCGGAGGA